UGAUGACCGGCUUCGGCGGCGGCUGGAACGCUCCGGGCUCGGAAGGCCCAGUGCUGUGCUGCCGGACAGGCCCCGCGUGGAUCCCUGCGGGAGCGGACGACGAAGAAAUUGAAUUUUGAAAAAUGAGAACUUAUGGAUGGAAUGAAGAAACAACUAUGAGAAAAAAACAUGCAAGACAUUGAGAGACAUGGGUUAUGAAGGCUCCAGCGUUACUGAAUUUGUACUCAGCUUGCCGAGGUUUGGUUCAGCUCCACAUCAGGGAGGGCCCACAUGGAGACUCAAGAUCAGCCUGGACUCUCCGCAUGCUGGAUUCUCAAGGUCCCAGGUAAGCUGCCCUGGGGUACCAUGGCUGGCUUAGGAACCAGGGGUCUGUGUGUGUUGCUGGAGCAUUUCCCUCAGAUGCUACUAAUCCAUGUGAACAGGUAGUCCAUGAGUGGUUUCUAAGCCUGCCUGUUCCCUGUCUCUCGUGUGUGAAUGUUUUCCAUACCUGUUUCUUACAUGUGCAGAGACUCUUGGUUUGCUGGGCAUCCCCAUACAGUCUCCCCACAGUGACCUCAAAUUCACAAUGUUCUAAACUAAAUUAACAUUUCCUACCUAAGCAGACCUGCUCUGUAUUUCUAUCUUGGAUGAAACAGUCACCCAGCUGCACAUACCAUAUCCUCGGGAAUCUUCAUUGACUCCUCCCUCUUGCUUACCCUGAUCAUCCAACUGAGACCAAGUCCUGUGGAGACUACCCCAUAAAUAAUUCUUCAACCCAUUCUUUCCCCUGGAGC